rfam:Rhizoctonia solani strain AG-1 IB complete mitochondrial genome, isolate 7/3/14
CCAAGUAAUCCAUUACUUGAGCCUAAACAGCAUGCUAUCGAAGUAAUUUUAUAGCGUGAAGCCUGUGAAUUCUCUAAUAAAAAUAAGUCAGAUUGAUAUAAAUCGACGGAUAGAUACUGCCAAGCAUGCUUGGCAGUCGCUAU